CCUUCCAGAGGUCUUGCAGUAGUCAAGCCAUGUUAAAACACAAAAAUGCCUCAGUAAUUUCUAAAUUUGAUAGGUAAUCUUAUUCUUCCAGGUGAUUUUUUAAUGUCCAACAAGAGCGUGGACUGCAUGUGAAGGCCUGGAACCUGCAACCUGCUGUCUUGUUGACAUCACUGACCUCUGGUACCACUUGGAGCAAGACAACUGAUGGUAGCAGUGACCUGUCUCCUGUGCAGUGACCAAAAAGGAGUGCUACAGAAGAGGAUCAAGCACCCAUUCCGUGUUCCUAAUGCCAUUCCCGCUGCUGCAAAGUCCUGUUGCAUGGACAACUGCAUGAAACCAGAGUAAGUCACCACUGCUGUCAAGCCAUCCACAGGGAGAUCAGAGUACUGAGCAGCACUUUUCUGGAAGAGGUGGUGACUCACACCUUGAAAACUGACAUUUUUGUUGGAAUUUGAGGCUUUAACUUCAAGCCACUAUUUCUGUUUUGCCUUUCUCUGCCAAAUCUGUACUUUCAUACCUAGUAUUUUUCUAUUGUGCUACUGCGUCACCUCUUAAUCUUUCAGUUUAACAUAUUAAGUGUCUUUAAUUGCUCUGAAAAUAGUCCUUUAGCUGAGUGCUGCGAUCCCUCUGACUUCUUCAGUUGCUACUGGGCUUUUUAACAGGAUGCCGGCGUCUGUCUGUGGCAAAGCACCAGGCAUCUGUGAUACAAGGCUGAAAACCUCUGAGGGCAAGAGUGAACAGACACAAAAGGCCAAGCAAAACAUUUUAAAUUCUUCAUUUCGAAGGACGCAUGGAGUAUAGGAGACAACUAGAGGGAGGCAGAAAUAAGCAUUCUUGGUGCAAAUACUUAAUACUUCUGUAGUACCUGGUAGGGCAGGUCCUAGGACACCAGUUUGAGCAAGUCUUACUGUGCUGUGUGUGCGAGUAGUGCCGUCAGUUGACACUAAUAGAGAUUAAUUUAGAGCAUUUUGAAAACGAGGGUUGGUAGCAGAGCCUGAGCCAUACCUGUGCCGUCUGGAACAGCAACUUCCAGGCUCCUGGGCACCUGCUUCACCCCAGGAUUUCAGCCCUGGUUCUUGAGCUGUGGGGGAACCUUGCCGUGCUUCCUUGUCUUGGCUCAUCCACGGGGUACAGCCCUGCUCACAUCCCCUCCUGAACCUCUGGAAAGGAGGCAGUACUUGGGCUCAGGUCCCUGACUUUGUUCUGACUUGGAACAGCAGAGAAAGGGGGGAAAAGCAGAAACAGGCAAAAGGGUAAUAUCAAGGUGGCCAAAGGAGUGGAAAGUAGGUGGUAAAAGGCAGCAGAUAGGAAGAGAAAAUUCAAAGCAGCAUCUUUUGCCUGUAGGGUGAUAGCUUGAGAGAGCUGAGCGUUUGUUCCCUCGACUUUACUUUUCUUAGUAAUCACUGUUUGGGAGCAAAUAAAAAAUAUCCAAUUGGCAGUAGAUGGACAAGACGCAAGAUUGGUGUUAGCACUGACUGAAGAGCUGGCGACUGCCUGACACCGAACUCGUGCAGCUCUAGUUGUGAACAGCUCAUAAACAGGCUGAGAUUUUCCUCCUCACCAAGUAGUUUUCUCCUUCAGGGCCGGUCCCUGCACUUGGAGCCAGCUCGCUGCGAGCCUCCCCCGCCGUCACUUUGCGAGCUCGGUGCCCUCAAUCACACCGUGCCACUUUGCCCCGCCGCCGCUGAGGAAUGACGUCUGCCCGGGCUGGAUUUUGUCACAAAUCUUGAUUGUAUUUUAUGCUCCAGUGCAUUCUGUUUACAAGGGCAAAACCCUCUUCUCUUGGCACUUCACACCAGGCAGCCUUCCCCUACACAAAUGGGUUUUCCAACAGGAAUAAGCAGGGAUGCAAAGUCAAAGCUGUUUUUCUGUGCGAGGGUCCCUGGAAUGCAAGUAAAUGUUUUUCUCCUUAUUCAACGGGACCAGGGCGACAGACUGGGGGAACUGAAGUUUGUCAUGGGUUUGCAGCACCUUUCCUUUCACUUAGCACAUUGGAAAUUGUGGAGGUGAGCAUCGGAGUGGGGAAUUCAUCUGUGUUAGCAGUGAGGGAGAUUCAUGCCUUUUUCUGACUUGUCAUGAAGUUUGCAAAGUUGCUUAUGUCGGCUUUGGUUUCAUUGUCAGAUGACUUAGUUCCAGUUGAGCUCUUCCAUUUAAGCUGUUAAACAAAUGAAAAGCAAAAUUGUCACUUUUAAAUAGAGUCCGCACAUAAUCACAUUUUGAAAUGGUCCUCUGUGGUACGAGCAGAAGUUGUGUGCAUUAUAAUAUUGAAUUUUAAAUAAUAUAUUACACAAAAUAGCUUCCAAUUUGA